ensembl:rRNA 5S_rRNA 5S ribosomal RNA
UCUUAUGGCCAAUUUCCCCAAGCAGCCCAAGACUGGUUACUCACUGAAGCUAAGCAGGGCUGAGCCUGGCCAGUACCUGGAUGGGGGAUCACAUGAGAAAACUAGGUUACUGUUAGAA